GAUGAACGCUGGCGGCGUGCCUAAUACAUGCAAGUCGAGCGAACAGACGAGGAGCUUGCUCCUCUGACGUUAGCGGCGGACGGGUGAGUAACACGUGGAUAACCUACCUAUAAGACUGGGAUAACUUCGGGAAACCGGAGCUAAUACCGGAUAAUAUAUUGAACCGCAUGGUUCAAUAGUGAAAGACGGUUUUGCUGUCACUUAUAGAUGGAUCCGCGCCGCAUUAGCUAGUUGGUAAGGUAACGGCUUACCAAGGCAACGAUGCGUAGCCGACCUGAGAGGGUGAGCGGCCACACUGGAACUGCGACACGGUCCAGACUCCUACGGGCGGCAGCAGUAGGGAAUCUUCCGCAAUGGGCGGAAGCCUGACGGAGCAACGCCACGUGAGUAAUGAGGGUCUUCGGGUCGUAGAUCUCUGUUAUUAGGGAAGAACAAAUGUGUAAGUAACUAUGCGCGUCUUGGCGGUACCUAAUCAGAGAGCCACGGCUAACUUCGUG
rnacentral:rRNA from 1 species